CCUUAACUACAUCCAUCAAAGCGCGCAUGUAAAUAUAUAUCUUUUUGAAAAUUUGUCUUGUUGGACUAUUUGUUUGAAUGUGUGUGCGUUAGCGUGUUGGGUGGAGUGUCCAUUGCUGUCUUCCCAAACCAGUUUAGCAGUUGUGCUUUUACUAGGGGUUGUUUCACUGUCGUUUCUGACAGGCUUGGUCAGGACAGAUAAGUACAUGCGGUUAUUUUUUUCUCUCUCUCUGUCUCUCCUCUUAACAGAGAAGAUGCAGUAGGUGUUGCAACCUGGAAAAACUGGUCAUGUCAGGAGGGGACUUCAUUCCUCUGUUAAGGUAUGCAUGCGACUCCCUGGAACAGCUAUAAAAAGGGGCACCCGGCAAAGCCGCUUGUACAGAAGGCAAUCAGGAAGUGUUUGUGUGUAGCACACAUCUGUGUUAAUGAGCAGUAUGAGUUUGUCAGGUUAGCGGCUGUCCUGGUUGAAAUCACCUUGUACGGAUAUUUUUUGGAGAUGGUACAGGGGAGAUUCUGUGAAAUCUUUGCGAUCACAAACGUCCCUAUGGGGGCAGCGAAGGAAGCACUGUUCCCUCGGAUUUUUGGAGAACGGGCUCAAGUCACAUGCUGGUCAGAUGGCCAAGAGAAUAUUUAAAGGGACCCUGCUGAUGCCGCGCCUGCAGGUUACAGUCCUCCGGGUGCAGUGGUUCUAAACAGUUCAACAGUUCUCUAUCGACAUUGUGAAAUGUUUAGGACCACUUGAUCCGCAGGACACUGACCGCCAGAUAAGAGUUGUGAAUGUUGCUUUGGAAACUGUGUCUUGGCGUUGUUAGAUUUGCAUACUGUAAACUGGGUUACAUUUUAUUCCAGAAACAGGUGUGCCAGUACUUUCCUAUUGUAUACAAACCAAUAAUACUUGUCCUCUGCCAAGCUGCUUCAGUUGCCCCUGAAACUGGUUACUUACAGAGAAACUGCCUUCCAAAUAUUUUACAAACAGGAGGCAGCUACACAGUUCAUCACUGCUUCUGCUAGCUCUUUCAAAGAACCGGCACGUGUCGUCCGACAUUCAGUCUCUUUCCUGUAAAUUUAUCUCCUGAUAUCUGUUCAACUCCCAUUUAACAUUGUUUACGGCAUUCGCUUCAGUGUCUGAGAACUGAAUGGAAAAUGUCCUCAUCAUUUCCAAUCUAGAUAUUUUGGGAAUGUGUUUGAAUCUAGAUCCCUCUGGUUAUUGAUCCCUGACAGAGGGGAUAGUUUUUUCUAUAGUUAUCAAAGCCUCUGAUCUUGGAAUUAUGUUAACUUUGGCUUCUAAAAAGGAAACUUCCAAUUGUUCCAAUAUUCCCAUGUAAACAAAACUCAUUCAUCGCUGAUCACACCCUUGUUAAAACUUCCUUUGUGUCCUUUCUAAAGUUUUUAUGUUUUUCAGACAUAUAGCUCUCAAUUGUCUGCGGUAUUCCAACUCUGUCCUGGCCAAUGAUUUAUGCAUUUCUAAUUUUUUUUGCAGUGUAAAAUAUAUGUAUUUGUAAAAAUUCUGUUCUGUUGAACUAUUUUGUGAUGGUUCAGGCAGUGACUUGCAUUUAUGUAGUUACCUUCAAUGCCUUUUUAUUCCCAGAGCUGCUGUACAGACUGGAAGACCUGAAUUUUGAUUUCUAUUGUGUUCUGAGUUAGUUAGCGGGAGCAGUAGAGUUGGGUUUAGUUCCCCAUGAAUUGUAGAGGUGAAAAGCAGUUUCAGUUCCCACAUCUCACUACUGUUACCCAACUUUUAAUGAAAUUUUAUAUGUUCUGUUAAGACAGAGGCAGCUAAGUUUCUCUUGCAUCUCAAAGAGACAUGAAUUGUCAAAGCAUUCAAAGGAAUAAUGAACUUGAUGUUGACUGUAAUGAUAUCCAAAUAAUUUAAGUUGAUUUCUUCAAGAGGUGGGGAAAGGUUAAAUGAGAAAAUAAUAUUUGCUGCAAUUCACAUCUUUUAAUGAAAAUGAUACAUAAUAUGGCUCUUCUUUUUCCCAAAAUGUGAUAUCUGUUCCAAACAAACUUUCCGUUUUUAAAAAAAAUUGAUAAGCAUGUUGUGAACUGGACAUUUUUUGAUUAUGAAUGACAUUAAAUGCAAAGCAAUAAAGAAAAAGAUGUAAUGUG